rnacentral:lncRNA from 1 species
AUGAGGAUUCAGACAUGGAAUGGUCAGACUCUUCAGCAUCACAAACUUGGUGGUCUACAAAUUGGUCUACAAGAUGGAAGCAUGUCGUGCGUGUCACAAGUAUCUGGUUGUGACACUUCUUUUCAAAUCAACAAACUGCAGACUGAGAUACUCGUCCACGAGCAAAGAUUUUCUUUGAGUGGUGUGAUUCGAUACAAAAAUGAUUCGGCACACUAUGUGGCAUAUGUUCGGAAAAUGAAUGGACAUUGGGAAAUACAUGAUGACCUAAAGGAUGAGCCCCAGCUCAACCCAUCAACAAGCAAACACAUAAAUCUUAUCUUCUAAUUUAUACUGAAAUAUGGACAAAAUUGUCAAGACAAAUCAUGGACAAAUCGUACAAAUUCCUUCGAACUGAACAUAACCUAUAAUCAAAAUAACAACACCAAUAGGCAAGUUCUAGUAGCAACAGCCGCCAUUCGGUGGUCAGCAAUCUCCAGUGUUGCACAACAGCGGUCACCGCUUAUGAAAAAAAACGCCCCUCAAGAGCCUCUGAGAAGUUUUGAAACUUUCAGCCGUACUUUCUCUGCGCUUGUAAGUCUGAUUGUCAAUAUUUUUGGCUCAAAAAUCAAGCAGAAAAUAAUCUAGAUCUUGUGGAUCUGCUUUUUGGAAUUUGAACAAUAUUAUCUCAGUAAUCGUCGAAGGAAAGUGAAAUUCUCAGUGGCGACUGGUGGCGCUAUCUCUAAUCUUGAAAUAUCCCUAAUCGAACCCUGGAUUCACCUUAAUAGUAUAAAUACGUCAUACAUUUUGAAUGAUUUCCCUCCCCUUCGAAGAGAAAAUUCCAAAUUUUUGGAAAUUCUUUUUCCAAUUAUAAAUCAAGUUCAUAAUAAUUAAUCCGCAACGGUGAUAUGUUAUGAAAAAAUUCAUAUUUGUUAAACUUGCUUCAUUUUUCCAUUAUGCUCAUUUUCUCACUAUUUGGACACUACUCUUUUCUCUUGAUUUUGUUUCUCCUCUUUCCGCAUAUUUACCCUCGAUGCUUCGAUGUUUCGUUUCUUAAAACCGCCAAGUCAGUCUUUCUUAAUCGGUGCUUUGAGGGCAUUCAGAACAUAUUCUAACGUUCCUCUUUUCAAAAGGUUGAAAGGUUAAGGACCAAAA